rnacentral:tRNA from 2 species
CAUCAAGAAGCUAAGCAAGCAUUAACCUUUUAAGUUAAAGACUGAGGGCACAAUACCCUCCUUGAUGA